UCUAGAGUGGUUUAUGGUACGGACAGCUCCUGGCUCUAGAGAUGGAGGGAUAACAUUUUCAAAGGCCCUUACAUGACUCAGGAGCCUAUGUCUCACUUCCAAAAGUGCCAUAUGCACUUUGGAGCCCAAGUCUCAUUGAAAGACAAUGGGAUUUAGGAGCCAAGUCACUUUAGAAAAUGGGACACAGGGGCCUUUGAAAAGUUUACCCUGGCCCUCCGUGCAGCUGUCCUGGGAUAGAUAUUUGAUCAGCAUUUCACUCACUCUUCCUGGUUGUCAGGCAGAGGAGCACAAUGCCUGUCUCAGGAGCACUCAGGAAAUGGACUGCUGGCCUGGAAGUCAUAGAGUCCACAGGUCCCGCCAUGGAGCCCUUUUCCCAUCCAGCAGCCAGUCAGGAAUCACCACUUUAACCUGUGACCUCUUCUAGAGAUGACAAGACUCUCCUGGACACCUGAAAUCCCUGGUUACUGUAAGAAUUGGACCAUUAAGGAGAAUGACUAAGCAGUGUGGGUUUGCCAACACCUCCCCUGCCAGAUACCGAAAAUAAUGAAUGUGAACUGAAUGACAUUCUCAGCAUCCAUAAGGCCAGGGCCUCAGAUUCUAAAUCUGUUGCCAGGUAAACAGCUAAUAUUCCAUAUAGCCGCAAAAGAGCAAGGUGAAUUCUAUUCUGCCUCAAGCAUCAACAAUUAUGUUCUAACUCCAGCAGAAAGAACACAAGACUGAUUUGCUAGAUCCAGACUGAAACAUUUUGUUUCAACUAUUAAACUGAGCAGAUUUGCUAUGAGAAUCACUGCUGGAUAGUAUUUGAAUAGGUGAGAUCUCACGCUCAGUCUUUCUGGGGAUCAUUUCAAUUUCAUGAAAAGGUGAAGAUUCAUGUAGUUUGUACCAUGGUCCUUGGGAAGAAUCUUGCAUUCUCUCCUUUGUUUUCUGUUCAUCCUUAACUGUUGUAUCCUCCUCAUCUUCAGUGGAGCUGUCAUUCAAGCUAUGAAGCAAAGAGAUCUGAUUACCGGCCACCUCUGUUCACGGUCACAAUAUUAACAACCAGCCUGGGGUAUUUAUCCACAAUGUGCUGUCUUAGUCAUGCCUGAGAUGCAAGUUUAAAACAAUGGGAUGUUAAAGAAAAUAUAUGGAGUCAGAUCUGCAGCUGAUAUCAACUGGCACAGCUCCACGGACUUCACUAGAGCUAGGUUUACACAAGCUGAGGA